GAAUGCUUUGGGGUGGGGUGACUGCGUACCUUUUGUAUAAUGGGUCAGCGACUUAUAUUCUGUAGCAAGGUUAACCGAAUAGGGGAGCCGGAGGGAAACCGAGUCUUAAUUGGGCGUUAAGUUGCAGGGUAUAGACCCGAAACCCGGUGAUCUAGCCAUGGGCAGGUUGAAGGUUGGGUAACACUAACUGGAGGACCGAACCGACUAAUGUUGAAAAAUUAGCGGAUGACCUGUGGCUGGGGGUGAAAGGCCAAUCAAACCGGGAGAUAGCUGGUUCUCCCCGAAAGCUAUUUAGGUAGCGCCUCGUGAAUUCAUCUCCGGGGGUAGAGCACUGUUUCGGCUAGGGGGCCAUCCCGGCUUACCAACCCGAUGCAAACUGCGAAUACCGGAGAAUGUUAUCACGGGAGACACACGGCGGGUGCUAACGUCCGUCGUGAAGAGGGAAACAACCCAGACCGCCAGCUAAGGUCCCAAAGUCAUGGUUAAGUGGGAAACGAUGUGGGAAGGCCCAGACAGCCAGGAUGUUGGCUUAGAAGCAGCCAUCAUUUAAAGAAAGCGUAAUAGCUCACUGGUCGAGUCGGCCUGCGCGGAAGAUGUAACGGGGCUAAACCAU
rnacentral:rRNA from 1 species